CGGACGGGUGAGUAACGCGUGGGUAACCUGCCUUAUACAGGGGGAUAACACUUAGAAAUAGGUGCUAAUACCGCAUAAGCGCACAGCUUCGCAUGAAGCAGUGUGAAAAACUCCGGUGGUAUACGAUGGAUCCGCGUCUGAUUAGCUGGUUGGCGGGGUAACAGCCCACCAAGGCGACGAUCAGUAGCCGGCCUGAGAGGGUGAACGGCCACAUUGGGACUGAGACACGGCCCAAACUCCUACGGAAGGCAGCAG
rnacentral:rRNA from 1 species